rnacentral:rRNA from 1 species
UAAGGAAUAUUGGACAAUGGUCGCAAGACUGAUCCAGCCAUGCCGCGCGCAGGAAGACGGCCCUGUGGGUUGUAAACUGCUUUUGUACCAGAGAAAACCUAUCUACGUGUAGAUAGCUGAUAGUAUGGUAAGAAUAAGCAUCGGCUAACUUCGUGCCAGCAGCCGCGGUAAGGCGAAGGAUGCAAGCGUUAUCCGGAUUCAUUGGGUUUAAGGGGUGCGUAGGCGGGCUUGUAAGUCAGUGGUGAAAUCUCUCAGCUUAACUGAGAAACUGCCAUUGAUACUGCAGGCCUAGAGUAUAGAUGACGUUGGCGGAAUAUGACAUGUAGUGGUGAAAUACUUAGAUAUGUCAUAGAACACCGAUUGCGAAGGCAGCUAACGAAACUAUAACUGACGCUGAGGCACGAAAGUGCGGGGAUCAAACA